UACGUAGGGUGCAAGCGUUGUCCGGAAUUAUUGGGCGUAAAGAGCGUGUAGGCGGCCAUACAGGUCAGCUGUGAAAACUCGAGGCUCAACCUCGAGACGUCGGUUGAAACCGUUUGGCUAGAGUCCGGAAGAGGAGAGUGGAAUUCCCGGUGUAGCGGUGAAAUGCGCAGAUAUCGGGAAGAACACCCGUGGCGAAGGCGGCUCUCUGGGACGGUACUGGACGCUGAGACGCGAAAGCGUGGGGAGCGAACAGG
rnacentral:rRNA from 1 species